AGAGUUUGAUCCUGGCUCAGGACGAACGCUGGCGGCGUGCUUAACACAUGCAAGUCGAACGGAGAAUUUAUUUCGGUAGAUUCUUAGUGGCGAACGGGUGAGUAACGCGUGGGCAAUCUGCCCUUCAGAUGGGGACAACAUCCCGAAAGGGGUGCUAAUACCGAAUACGAUCGUUUUCCCGCAUGGGAUUGCGAUGAAAGAUGGCCUCUAUUUAUAAGCUAUCGCUGAAGGAUGAGCCUGCGUCUGAUUAGCUAGUUGGUGGGGUAACGGCCUACCAAGGCGAUGAUCAGUAGCCGGUCUGAGAGGAUGAACGGCCACAUUGGGACUGAGACACGGCCCAAACUCCUACGGGAGGCAGCAGUGGGGAAUAUUCCGCAAUGGACGAAAGUCUGACGGAGCAACGCCGCGUGAGUGAUGAAGGUUUUCGGACUGUAAAGCUCUGUUGUUUAGGACGAAAGUGCCUGUUGCGAACAGUUACAGGUAUUGACGGUACUAAACGAGGAAGCCACGGCUAACUACGUGCCAGCAGCCGCGGUAAUACGUAGGUGGCAAGCGUUGUCCGGAAUUAUUGGGCGUAAAGAGCAUGUAGGCGGAGAUUUAAGUCUGUUGUGAAAAUGCGGGGCUCAACCCCGUAUUGCGAUGGAAACUGAAUUUCUUGAGUGCACGAGAGGAAAGGGGAAUUCCCAGUGUAGCGGUGAAAUGCGUAGAUAUUGGGAGGAACACCAGUGGCGAAGCGCCUUUCUGGACUGUGUCUGACGCUGAGAUGCGAAGCCAGGUAGCGAACGGGAUUAGAUACCCGGUAGUCCUGGCCGUAACGAUGGGUACUAGUGUAGGGUAUCGAACCCCCCCUGUGCCGAGUACGCAUAGUACCCCGCUGGG
rnacentral:rRNA from 1 species